rnacentral:rRNA from 1 species
GGCGCAUUAGCUAGUUGGUGGGGUAAAGGCUUACCAAGGCAAUGAUGCGUAGCCGAAUUGAGAGGUUGAUCGGCCACAUUGGGACUGAGACACGGCCCAAACUCCUACGGGAGGCAGCAGUAGGGAACCUUCCACAAUGGGCGAAAGCCUGAUGGAGCAACGCCGCGUGGGUGAAGAAGGUCUUCGGAUCGUAAAACCCUGUUGUUAGAGAAGAAAGUGCGUGAGAGUAACUGUUCACGUUUCGACGGUAUCUAACCAGAAAGCCACGGCUAACUACGUGCCAGCAGCCGCGGUAAUACGUAGGUGGCAAGCGUUAUCCGGAUUUAUUGGGCGUAAAGGGAACGCAGGCGGUCUUUUAAGUCUGAUGUGAAAGCCUUCGGCUUAACCGGAGUAGUGCAUUGGAAACUGGGAGACUUGAGUGCAGAAGAGGAGAGUGGAACUCCAUGUGUAGCGGUGAAAUGCGUAGAUAUAUGGAAGAACACCAGUGGCGAAAGCGGCUCUCUGGUCUGUAACUGACGCUGAGGUUCGAAAGCGUGGGUAGCAAACAGGAUUAGAUACCCUGGUAGUCCACGCCGUAAACGAUGAAUGCUAAGUGUUGGAGGGUUUCCGCCCUUCA